rnacentral:rRNA from 1 species
UACGAGUGCCUCAAGCGUUAUCCGGACUUAUUGGGCGUAACGGUUGUGUAGGUGGUUGUGUUAGUCUCUUGUCAAAUUCUUCGGCUUAACCGGGGGUCCGCAAGGGAAACGGCACGACUAGAGGAUGCGAGGGGUCUGUGGAACUCAUAGUGUAGCGGUGAAAUGCGUUGAUAUUAUGGGGAACACCAAAAGCGAAGGCAGCAGACUGGAGCACUCCUGACACUGAAACAUGAAAGCGUGGGUCGCGAAUGGG